rnacentral:rRNA from 1 species
CCUACGGGUGGCAGCAGUGAGGAAUAUUGCUCAAUGGGGGAAACCCUGAAGCAGCAACGCCGCGUGGAGGAUGAAGGUUUUCGGAUUGUACACUCCUUUUGUUAGAGAAGAUAAUGACGGUAUCUAACGAAUACGCCCCGGCUAACUCCGUGCCAGCAGCCGCGGUCAUACGGGGGGUGCAAGCGUUACUCGGAAUCACUGGGCGUAAAGCGCGCGUAGGCGGGAUAGCAAGUCAGAGGUGAAAUCCUAUGGCUUAACCAUAGAACUGAAUUUGAAACUGUUAUUAUAGAGUAUGGGAGAGGUAGGUGGAAUUCUUGGUGUAGGGGUAAAAUCCGUAGAGAUCAAGAGGAAUACUCAUUGCGAAGGCGACCUGCUAGAACAUAACUGACGCUGAUGCGCGAAAGCGUGGGGAGCAAACAGGAUUAGAUACCCGGGUAGUC